CGAAGUUCUGCCGAACAAGGCCGGGUCCCUGCCGCCGGCGGAGGCUGUCCGGAGGCCAUCGCAGCAGUCACCUGGUCCCCGCGCGUGUCGCCCGCGCUCGGCGUGGCCUCCCGGAGGGAAGCUCUUCUUCCUGUGUGGUUUCCAUCAUUAACCUUUCUACCAGGGAGCAUUCCCUAACACAUCCAAAGUUCAAGUCCAGACCCAAGACAGCAAGGUUCAGAAAGAGGUCAAGAUGGGGUUUAUAUUUUCAAAAUCCAUUAAUGAAAACAUGAAAAAUCAAAAAGAGUUCAUGCUUAUGAAUGCUAAACUUCAGGUAUGUUUUGAAAUAAUUAAGCUGUUAUGUUAUUGCAGUGGUUAAAGUUCUACUACAUGUACUUUAGCAGUAUG